AAUAAUAGAAAAGCAAACUAAUAGAUGUACAAAAGAAACAAACUAGCGAAGUAGAACAGAAAACACAUGUAACAUGCAAUCAAACUCGUCUAAAUGCAGCAAAUGUUGUAUAUUUACCAUUAAAUACAAUUGCAUGCUGUUAGAAUUUCGUCAUGCUAUGCUGACCGGGAAUGGAUGACUCACGUGCGUCGGUAAAUUCAUUGUACCCUAAUUUAUCCAAUCCGACUUUCCCGAAUUAAUAGAACCAAAUGCACAAAUUGAUCACCAGAAAUAUUAGCCACUAUUCUAUCAUAUACGCCAGUUCUGCAUCCAUUCCCUGACCCAUGUGUCACAAAUACUCAGACGAACACAUACACAGAUAGACAUACGACUAGCACAUAACAAUUGUACACUAGUACGAAAAACUACGAUUAUUACAAAGCGACAACUAAUAUGUUUCUACAUAUUCUACUUGAUUAAAUUAAUUUAAUUAUUAAAUUAAUUUAGUUAGUACAUGCAUGAUGACGAAUUCGAUCGAUAAAUGGACACACAAUGACUCCCACUGUGAGCCCCGUCCACGAAUACCGCCAUCAAAUUGUGGAACAAUAUUUGCAAACACAGCACACAGCAAAAGUCUGUAACGUUUGUCAUGGGAAUCAAUGUUUAUAAACGUAGGAUAAUGGUCAAAACAAAGACAUUAUAAUUAGUUGAUAGAAAAAUCAGACAUUCUGGCACCACGGCAGCACUAUCUGGACGCUAUCUUGCACCCGCAUAUCUCUUCGCACAAAGUCUACAUCACUUUUGGCGGAAAUCGUACAAGAGUAAAAUCUUUCUCACAAAGACAACCAAAACGCGAACAAGGCCAGUAAGCAAAGUCGCCAUCGUGAUAGUGACGCGCACCUGGGAAAAAACGUCGUGCGGAACUCACCAAGCAGAAGUAACCAAAAGACUGCGAAUCAGAUCGAAAAUCGUCGCAUGAUUUCUCAAGUCUGUAAACCGGAAAUCGCCGACCAACGCACGCUGUGAGUUUUGGCACGAGCACCACUCAGUUACGAAAGCCAUAUUGGAAAAUUACCAGGGUCCAUUCUAAAUACGGACAGUGGAUCGGAAAGUGACACAUCAAACGCACGUGAUCAUUUUAGCUUGAUUGGAUCCAUUAGCGCAAGCUGCAAUCAAGCAACACAUUCUCCUGGUUCGCCACGGGAGCCUUAUUCAGCUAAUAAGCCAAGCCGAGGGACCUAGAAAGAUUCAAACGGCGCCCAGCACACGCUUACGAGGAAGACGACUUUGAAGAUUAACAACGGAUCGGUACGAUCCCAUCUCGGAAGACAGCCCCGGAAAGGGGCCGUUUUCUCAGAUUUGCCUGAUCAGGAGGACGAUCUAUUAACGGAUUAGUCGGUCAUUACGGAAACGAGGACGAAGGUCAAGCGAGCGACUGGCAGCACGACAGAGAACGGCGGGAGGAGAACCUCUGUGCACCGGUAACACGUUGACGUCAUCAGGAGUCGAAGCCAAAGCUGUGGUGUGGAGCAUGAAAGCGGUGGUGAAGAGCACGGGUAGGAGGAAACCCGGGAUGGCAUGCUAAGGCGGGCGUGUUGCGGAUCCGUGAGUAGAAAUGAGAGACAAAGCCAGUUUAGAACAGCCAAGAAUGAAGGCGAGUGAUUAGUAUAGAGUAGGAGAUGUUUGAGGUAGUCAGCUGGGGACGAGUGUAAUGUAUGCAAAAUAUAUUGUAAUUUAAACACAUAAUAGUAUUUGUGGAUAUUGUUGGUUUGCGAUUUGUUCCAUGCUAGUCGGUGCUGCCUCCGCGAUCAUCUCACAUCGUAGGCAAACCUAUUACAAGUCAAUGCACGACGACCCGCCAGUCGGCUACGUCACCGCGCACAGACCAGUGGCUGAGCGUUGGUAUGCGCAGGGGCAGAGUAUGAAGAAUCGUAGAACAUAAAAAAGGCACAUAAGCCCUCUCGGUCUCCUCGAUGCACCACUAUCGAGGCGUAAUGCAAUAACCAUCUUAAAGCAGUUGUUCUUUGGCGCUGAUGCACGCAAUAUGCCUGAUGAUGUUUGCAAUACCGUCAAACCCCUCAACCUUGGGGAGGGAUUUGAAUGAAAUUUGAAUUUUUAUUCCAAAAAAAAAAAUCAAAAUUAUUUCCGGUUUACUGUAAAUAGUUCAAUCGCCAGACUCUACUACAAAAAACAUUUUGCUACGAAAACAUCCAUCGUUGUUUGCGAACACAUUAGAAAAGCCAGACUAAUAAACAACGACGAAAAUGAAAGCCCCAUGUUCUAUUUCGACAAGAAAAGCUAAUUAAUCAAAGUAGUCCAUCCACCCAUUCAACAGCUGCUCGUUCUGGCGGGCCAACAAUUGGUAGCAACCGUCCGCCUUCAGCAACUCCCCAAAUAAUACCAGCGAACGCCAGAGAGGAUAAUUCUUCUAAUUAAGAUUUUAAUAGCUAUAAAGAAAGCUACCUUUUCCAAGAAGCUUUUUCCGGCUCUGGUUCCGGGCGAUUCUCAUAAAACUUCAAUUUAUUAUCCACGCAGCAGACACGUGUACAUCUAGCUCCAGCCGACUCACGCGCAAAAUCGAAACUCACAAACCACCGUUUGUUGUGCUGUGCGCGGCGCCCACCUAGCAAUAUCAUCUCAAUUUUCAUCCAAUCACCUUUGCUGACCUUCCCCCAAUUGCCGAAAUGUGUGGCCCUCGUUUUUGAUUUGUUUACAUAACUUUGUGAUACUGUGUUUACCCACAUGACCAUCAUCUCAUCAUCAUCAUCAUCUUAUUCUUCUUUAUCUUCUACUUUAUAACCAUUUUCCCCUCUAUCAACAGUACAUAUGCAUGUGUAUUGUUGUACAUACGUACGCGGGGUUACCAAAUAAUAAUCAAAUCAAAUUGAUUGACCUAAAUAUCAACGACCACUAAUUGAUUCCGUUUUUCUUUUCCAUGUGUUUCUUUCCAUCUGCCAAUUC